ACAGAGGCCCCGAGCGUUAGUCGGAAUUACUGGGCUUAAAGGGUGCGUAGGCGGGCGUGUAAGUGCUUUGUGAAAUCCCUGGGCUCAACCCAGGAACCGCAGGGCAUACUGCACGUCUCGAGGGAGCUAGAGGCCGGUGGAACGAUCGGUGGAGCGGUGGAAUGCGUAGAUAUUGGGAGGAACACCUGUGGCGAAGGCGGCUUUCUGGACAAUUACUGACGCUGAGGCGCGAAAGCUAGGGGAGCAAACGGGA
rnacentral:rRNA from 1 species